rnacentral:rRNA from 1 species
GAUGAACGCUAGCGGGAGGCCUAACACAUGCAAGCCGAGCGGUAGAGAUUCUUCGGAAUCUUGAGAGCGGCGUACGGGUGCGGAACACGUGUGCAACCUACCUUUAUCUGGAGGAUAGCCUUUCGAAAGGAAGAUUAAUACUCCAUAAUAUAUUGAUUGGCAUCAAUUGAUAAUUGAAAGCUCCGGCGGAUAGAGAUGGGCACGCGCAAGAUUAGUUAGUUGGUGAGGUAACGGCUCACCAAGACGAUGAUCUUUAGGGGCCUGAGAGGGUGAUCCCCACACUGGUACUGAGACACGGACCAGACUCCUACGGGAGGCAGCAGUGAGGAAUAUUGGUCAAAUGGGUGCAAGCCUGAACCAGCCAUCCCGCGUGAAGGACGACUGCCCUAUGGGUUGUAAACUACUUUUGUAUAGGAUAAACCUACCUCGUGAGGGUAGCUGAAGUACUAUACGAAUAAGCAACCGGCUAAACUCCGUAGCCAGCAGCCGCGGUAAU